AUGGAGGAAGAUUCUUCAGAAUUUUUGAUAGAGAUUCUACAGAUUUUUCUUUUAAUUUUCUCCUUAAUUUUCUUCCCCUCCUCUCUUCUAUUGAAUGAAGCUGGUUUUAUAAGUGAAUGGAUUCAAAUUUUUGGAUGCAAAAGUGUGGGAAUUUUGAGUUUGAGUGAAAAAUCAGAGGGGAGAAUUUAG